UUGAUGGGGUAAGGCUCCCAGUAGACGACUGGGUUGAUAGGCCGGAUAUGGAAGCACGGUAACGUGUGGAGUUGACCGGUACUAAUAGGCCGAGGGCUUGUCCUC
rnacentral:rRNA from 2 species